AUUGAACGCUGGCGGCAGGCCUAACACAUGCAAGUCGAGCGAGCGGCGGACGGGUGAGUAAUGUCUGGGAAACUGCCCGAUGGAGGGGGAUAACUACUGGAAACGGUAGCUAAUACCGCAUACCAUCAGAUGUGCCCAUAUGGGAUUAGCUAGUAGGUGGGGUAAUGGCUCACCUAGGCGACGAUCCCUAGCUGGUCUGAGAGGAUGAUCAGCCACACUGGGACUGAGACACGGCCCAGACUCCUACGGGAGGCAGCAGUGGGGAAUAUUGCACAAUGGGCGCAAGCCUGAUGCAGCCAUGCCGCGUGUAUGAAGAAGGCCUUAGGGUUGUAAAGCACUUUCAGCGGGGAGGCGUUACCGACAGAAGAAGCACCGGCUAACUCCGUGCCAGCAGCCGCGGUAAUAC
rnacentral:rRNA from 1 species